UUCCUUGCUGUGUAGAAGCUUCUUUAUGAUUGAAGAAUAGAAAUAUCCGAAUGGAAAGAUUGAUUGUCAGGACAGAAGCCCAUGGCAGAUUUAACCAACAGACAAAUCACAAAGGGGAUAACUGUGUGGAAUGCUGGAGAGAAGUCACAGGCUGUGCUGGCCCUUUGGGGACAGCUGACACCAGCUAUCAGCGGCAUUCUGAGCCUGCUGCCCACUUAUUCCUGGAAGUCUCUGCAGGGUUGCCAGCCAAAGGUGGUAGCUGAACGCCCAGAGCAGAGCCUCAGUGAGCUCGGUGAUCACUUGUCGCCUAUCAAUGAAGAAGCUGUGAAACCUGAACCUGCACACCCGCUUGUCCAGGACUCGCCCCAGCCAGCCCUACUUCAGUGACUCCAUGCCCCACAUGCUUAGUCAUCGCAGUGCAAUUCAACAAGAUUUCUUUCUUGUGCUUUGGUGGAGAUGUUAAAGGAAAGCGGAGUGAUACCCACACUUUAAUGCAGUUCAGUCUACAACCUACAAGAAUUAGUUCGAUUCCAACCACCAAGUUUCAUCACGGCUGUGUCCUGGUCUGCUGCA